GAUUAUGGCUCAGAACGAACGCUGGCGGCAGGUCUUAGGCAUGCAAGUCGAACGGAUGACAGAGAGCUUGCUCGUCUGAAGUCAGUGGCGCACGAGUGAGUAACGCGUGGGAAACUGCCCUUCACUGGGGAAUAACGUUUGGAAACGAACGCUAAUACCGCAUACGCCCGCAAGGGGAAAGAUUUAUCGGUGAUGGAUGUGCCCGCGUUGGAUUAGCUUGUUGGUGGGGUAAUGGCCUACCAAGGCGAUGAUCCAUAGCUGGUCUGAGAGGACGAUCAGCCACGCUGGAACUGAGACACGGUCCAGACUCCUACGGGAGGCAGCAGCUAAGAAUAUUGGGCAAUGGAGGAAACUCUGGCCCAGCCCAUGCCGCGUGAAUGAAGAAGGCCUUCGGGUUGUAAAGUUCUUUUAGUCAUGAAGAUGAUGACAGUAGUGACAGAAAAAGCACCGGCUAACUUCGUGCCAGCAGCCGC
rnacentral:rRNA from 1 species